rnacentral:rRNA from 1 species
UACGUAGGGUGCGAGCGUUGUCCGGAAUUACUGGGCGUAAAGAGCUCGUAGGUGGUUUGUCGCGUUUGUCCGUGAAAACUCACAGCUCAACUGUGGGCGUGCGGGCGAUACGGGCAGACUGGAGUACUGCAGGGGAGACUGGAAUUCCUGGUGUAGCGGUGGAAUGCGCAGAUAUCAGGAGGAACACCGGUGGCGAAGGCGGGUCUCUGGGCCGAUACUGACGCUGAGGAGCGAAAGCGUGGGGAGCGAACAGG